GAGCUCACACAAGCGGUGGAGCAUGUGGCUUAAUUCGAUGCAACGCGAAGAACCUUAUCCUGGGUUUGACAUGUAUGGAUUAACUCCCUGAAAGGGGAGCCACGCCCUCGUGGUGGAACAUACACAGGUGCUGCAUGGCUGUCGUCAGCUCGUGCUGUGAAGUGUCGGGUUAAGUCCCUUCAACGAGGCAACCCCUGUCGUUAGUUGCUAGCAGGUAAUGCUGAGGACUCUAGCGAGACUGCCGGUGUUAAACCGGACGAAGGUGGGGGAUGACGUCAAGUCCGAUGGCCUUUAUGCCCAGGGCUGCACACGUGCUACAAUGGCAGAUACAGAACGAUGCAAUGUCGCAAGGCG
rnacentral:rRNA from 1 species